CUGAAUAGGGCGUUUAGUAUUUGGUCGUAGACCCGAAACCAGGUGAUCUACCCUUGGUCAGGUUGAAGUUCAGGUAACACUGAAUGGAGGACCGAACCGACUUACGUUGAAAAGUGAGCGGAUGAACUGAGGGUAGCGGAGAAAUUCCAAUCGAACCUGGAGAUAGCUGGUUCUCUCCGAAAUAGCUUUAGGGCUAGCCUCAAGUGAUGAUUAUUGGAGGUAGAGCACUGUUUGGACGAGGGGCCCCUCUCGGGUUACCGAAUUCAGACAAACUCCGAAUGCCAAUUAAUUUA
rnacentral:rRNA from 1 species